GAGACCUUAGUUUAAUUGGUAGAAUGUAUGACUUUUAAUCAUUAAUACGUGGGUUCAAAUCCCACAGGUCUUA
rnacentral:tRNA from 10 species